UACAGAGGUCUCAAGCGUUGUUCGGAUUCAUUGGGCGUAAAGGGUGCGUAGGCGGCGCGGUAAGUCGGGUGUGAAAUCUUGGAGCUUAACUCCGAAACUGCAUUCGAUACUGCCGUGCUUGAGGACUGGAGAGGAGACUGGAAUUUACGGUGUAGCGGUGAAAUGCGUAGAUAUCGUAAGGAAGACCAGUGGCGAAGGCGGGUCUCUGGACAGUUCCUGACGUGAGGCACGAAGGCCAGGGGAGCAAAACGGGG
rnacentral:rRNA from 1 species